CCCUGCCCCAAGCAGAGGGAGGCCACGGCCCUGCUCUGCAGAGCCCGCGGGCGGCAGGGGAAGCGCGGGAAAGCGCUGAGUCACGUUCAGGCCAUAGGCAUAUGUCCCAGCAUACAAAUGUUCCGGGCCCAGGAAACAUUUGGAGGAAUUAUACACCUGGUUCCUCAGGACGAACACCGAUGAAUUCCAACGUCUGGAAUUAGGAAGCUACCAAACAAAUGAAUGCACUGUUGGGGGAGAGAGCUCAACCACCCUCCUUUCCCCUGGGAAGAGGAUCUCUGACUGCACUUGGAGAUUUCCUUCAAUCCCACCUUCCUGGCCACCCAUCAUAUCUGAGAUGGUCCUCCUGCCCCAGCAGAAGAGCUCCCCAAUCCCUCUCCAGGCUCUGGGUCCCAUUUCUUCCUCCUCUCGGAUGUGGUGGGUCCUGGGGUGGGGCCUUGGGAACACUAGGGCUUGGUAUCCCAAAAUAUUCUCACCCACCAGCACAUGCCUUGUUGUCUAUCCUCCCCUGCCUGGAUGCUGGACCCACAGAGGAACUGAGCAAAGCCACACGGCUAUUUACUUCCCCGAGGACCAGGGCCAGAGGCAGGGUGGGCAGGGAAGGAGUGGAGGAAGGAGUGACAUCAGGUUUUGCAGGAGCUGAGUCUUACGGGUAAAGCUGAACCCCCAGCCCCACAGGAACCUUGAUCCAGGAACGUCUGCCCUGAAGCUGUGGUUAGAGGCGGCUCUGGGCAAAGGCGUUAGAGGAGCUCAUCAACUGGCCACACGUUCUAUGUGACACGCUCUGUGCUGCAGCGUGCGGAGCACGCGAUAUCCGUGCCUGGACACAAA